rnacentral:rRNA from 1 species
CCGCACANGCGGUGGAUGAUGUGGAUUAAUUCGAUGCAACGCGAAAAACCUUACCUACCCUUGACAUGUCCAGAAGCNUGAAGAGAUUNGGNUGUGCCNGAAAGGGAACUGGAACACAGGUGCUGCAUGGCUGUCGUCAGCUCGUGUCGUGAGAUGUUGGGUUAAGUCCCGCAACGAGCGCAACCCUUGUCGUUAAUUGCCAUCAUUCAGUUGGGCACUUUAACGAGACUGCCGGUGACAAACCGGAGGAAGGUGGGGAUGACGUCAAGUCCUCAUGGCCCUUAUGGGUAGGGCUUCACACGUCAUACAAUGGUCGGUACAGAGGGUUGCCAAGCCGCGAGGUGGAGCCAAUCCCAGAAAGCCGAUCGUAGUCCGGAUCGCAGGCUGCAACUCGCNUGCGUGAAGUCGGAAUCGCUAGUAAUCGCGGAUCAGCAUGUCGCGGUGAAUACGUUCCCGGGUCUUGUACACACCGCCCGUCACACCAUGGGAGCGGGUUCCGCCAGAAGUAGGUAGCCUAACCGCAAGGAGGGCGCUUACCACGGCGGGGUUCGUGACUGGGGUGAAGUCGUAACAAGGUAGCCGUAGGGGAACCUGCGGCUGGAUCACCUCCU